rnacentral:rRNA from 1 species
GUACACUCCUACGGGAGGCAGCAGUGGGGAAUUUUGGACAAUGGGCGAAAGCCUGAUCCAGCAAUGCCGCGUGAGUGAAGAAGGCCUUCGGGUUGUAAAGCUCUUUUGUCAGGGAAGAAACGGUGAGAGCUAAUAUCUCUUGCUAAUGACGGUACCUGAAGAAUAAGCACCGGCUAACUACGUGCCAGCAGCCGCGGUAAUACGUAGGGUGCAAGCGUUAAUCGGAAUUACUGGGCGUAAAGCGUGCGCAGGCGGUUUUGUAAGUCUGAUGUGAAAUCCCCGGGCUCAACCUGGGAAUUGCAUUGGAGACUGCAAGGCUAGAAUCUGGCAGAGGGGGGUAGAAUUCCACGUGUAGCAGUGAAAUGCGUAGAUAUGUGGAGGAACACCGAUGGCGAAGGCAGCCCCCUGGGUCAAGAUUGACGCUCAUGCACGAAAGCGUGGGGAGCAAACAGGAUUAGAAACCCGAGUAGUCCC